ACCUUUCUAGUACCAACACUAGUAUGAGUGACUUCCAAUCACCCGGUCCUGGUUAAAAUCCAGGGAAAGGUA
rnacentral:tRNA from 1 species